rnacentral:lncRNA from 1 species
AAGAAAAAAAAGUGUCUUUGUUUGAUCAUCAUUUAUUAUUUAUGUUUAUUUAAUAUAUUCUAUACUUUUUACCAUCCAUUUAAAAAUCAAUUAAAAAUUUUGAAAAAAGAAAAAUAAUAACUACAAUACUCAAAUUUUAAUAAUUAUUAAGCAAGAUUUAAACUAUUAAACAUAUAGAAUGAUGAAAAAGAAACUAUGAAUUUACGGACAAAAAUGUAUUAGCACACUUUUGGGAGUGAUUUUGAAAUCAUGUAAAUCAUUUUUGUCGUUUUAUAAUUCCUAAGCAUGAUUGAAUAAGAAAUUUAUCAUGACAUCAUAUUUUUUAAAGAACAAGAACAUAUUUUGGAAUGAUUUUAAAGAUGAUGAAAAGUAAUUCUAACCAUUUUAAAAUCAAUGUCAGUGGUUGAUAUUAUUCAAAACCUUCACCUCAAACCACUUUUCUAUCAUUUUAUUAACAUUCAUGAUCCCAUUUUUACUCAACUAAUGAUUGUUUGCACAUUACAAUAAUACCCCUCAGAUUUCAUUCCAACUUCACAAAACACAACCCAUUAAUAUUUAAAAUUAAAUAUUCUGUAUUGAUCUUUUAGAGGCUUUGAAAGAAAAAGGAGAAAUCUUACUGUGUAGUUUCCUUUACACGUAAAAGUUAAGAAGGAUUGAACCUUAAGCCUCAAAAAGUUCGAUAUUACAUGUUCAUAUCAGCAAUUUGAUUGUGUCAAUCUUUCAAGUAGGUUGAUAUAUCCGUAUCCUUUAUUUGAAUCAUAUCGCAGCAAUUUCAUCUUUCUUUAAUGAUGAUGUUUUGUUCUAUAAUCAGAAGGGCUUGAAAGUUUGAAGGCUUCUAAUUAUCAAGCAAUGAGAUAUUAAUAUUUUGUUAACAAAACACAACUCAACUGAUGUGAUGCAUACAACUCACCAUCUAAGUUGAUUUCAAUAUAAUACACACAAUUUGUAAUUAUAACAACAAAAUUCUACUUAUAAACCUAAAAAAUAAAUUGACUCAGUUUAACCCAAAUGACUUUAAAAUUUCCAGUACCUCUCAACAAUGUCUUCCUCCUAUGAUUCUGUCUUCCCACCCUCCAUUUUAAAGUCUCUUGGAGGUGUUGAGACUGUUUUUACAAAUAACUUUCCUUCUUGCUAGAACCCGUCUCUUCUUAAACACAUAAAAUGGAAACUGAAAAGUACAAAUUAUGCAAACAUUCAGAUGGAAGUCAAAAAUAACAGUGAAGAACAAGCAGAUUAAUAUCAACGUCGUUCAGCCAUUGGGAUGUAACCAAAGAUAUCAAAGCCAUUUUCAGAAGCAGAGUGGGUUCUCUUGAUAAAUAGAUAGAAACCUUCAAUCUACAUUUUAACACAAAUAUCAUACAAAUGUUUGUAGCUAAGUCUGUAUCAUUUUCAAAGACCUUGGCUAUCUAAGGAAAGGGAUCCCUUGGCUGUACUGAUAUAUCUUUAGAUUUCGGAAUCUAUCGUACUUGUAAUCAAAAGUGGCUCUGAGUUAUCUAAAUGGACACUAUGUUUCAACAUUUUACAAAAUGUAGAGAAAGAAGAUGAAUGGAAGAAGAAAUAGAAAAAUUCUCACUUCUAGCCACCAUUCCUAAGAAUCAACUCUUGAACAUGGAACUAUUACUUCGGAUAGAGUGGUCCUAUGGAAAGAAUGUCCCUGACAAUUAAUGGAGACAGAAAGCUUUUCUCCUGCAUAUUAUAUGUAUGGAGGACUGGCAGUCAUGGUAUCAAGAAUGAACUUGAAGAACAUGACUGGGUGGGAUGUGAUACAUAUACGUAGCUUAAUCUGUCAGUUGCAGAAUUAGUUUUGAAUGUGAUGUGAUUCGUUGGGUCAAAGAGAACGUCAGUUUUUUGCUUCUGAGGCUAAGUUAAUAAGAUUCUUUACUGGCUGGCCCAGAUCAACCGGGGCUACAGGUGGAGCAAGACUUGUUUGAUCAAUUACCAACUCGGAGGAAUCCUUAAGCGUAGGGUCAGUUUCCAUUUUAUCAGCUUGCUGUGGAGCAGAGUGCUCAUGAUCUGGUUCAAGAAGGCUUGAUGAUGCAGGGAGGGAAGCUUUUGGAUCAAUGUUAUUUUCAUUGUUUUCGUACUCGGAGAGAAGAUCCAUGAAUUCGUUAAGCAGUCGCUGGACUUUUCUAUUUGAUGCCAUGGCAGGAAGUAUAUCUUCUCUUAGAAGUUUGUGCUUUCUCAUUCCCUGCGUAAAUGUAAAAAGAUUUGAGUAAAAUAAAAUUCUUAGGGCGCAGAAACCUAAUCAAGGCAGCCCCGUCGCAAAGCUAAAUAGUUUAGAGGUGCAGUAAGAGUAAUAUAAAUAUCCACUUUGUGCAUCAUCUUUCACAACUAUAAUCGCAUUAUAAAAAACAUGACCCUACUUCCAAACCCAAAAGAUUUUAGACAGAUCAACUCUUGACAUGAUGACUUAGAUUUAAGUAUAGAGAAGCUAAAAAGGAGUGCUAAAUGAAUUGAAGCACUAAGUUAGAAAAAAGCAAAGAAAUUAUCACUACAGACAACAUGUAAAACGUGAUUCAAACCAAUCAGAAUAAUUUCCUACAAAAUUUAUAACAGGAAAAGGGAAACAAGAAUUGAGCGCAGUAAGGGACAAUAUUAACAAUUAAAUAAAAGCAACAUAAAUAUAACUGCCAAAGGGCUUGAAGGCAAAAAUAGAGACGUUUGUUAAGGUAUGAUUCAUGUGUGAGAUGGCAUUGCAGGGAAGGUUAACGAAGUCUUACAAGCACGCAAGGAUCCCAGGCUUGAUUCUUUGAAUCCGCCAAUGCAUCUCCAGCCAUCCCAGUUGGUGGUCCAAGUAAACUCUCACAAACCUCACGUAGCCUAGACUCAUCUGCUUCUCUGUAAUCAAGAAACAAAAAUACCAAAUACAGGCAUGUGAACUGAAAUGCUCUAAAUUUAUCUAGAUGAAAAUUAAAUUACAUCAUUUAACCAAACAAAAGCGAGGGGCAAGCGUAAUAUACCUCCCAAAUCAAACACAUCAUGCACCUGUUCUGAUGCCCAAAAAAUUUGAACUCCAGAACAGAAAAGUUGUUCAACUCAUAUAUCCAUGUCAGCCUCUUUCUUUUUUUUUUUUUUUGAUAAAAACAACUCAUGUAUCACAUAUCGGUGUCAGCCUCUAUCUUAGGUGUACCGGUAAUAUCCAAACUCUUUUGAUAAAAUCAAAACUUUGUACUCCUAAAACUACAUGCGAAAAAGCCCCAAAAAAUAUUUGAAAAAAGAUUUAGGCAACAAAAAUAUAUGAUAAAGCAAAUCAAAGAUGUGUUAGAAGUCAAUCACCUUGCCAAGAAGCGUAUGUAUGAUAGAAGCCACUGGCGAUACUCAUUAGGUGACUUCAAUGCCAGCGCAGAUGCCAUCUGCGUCUCUAGGUGCGCACGUGUCUGCAUCCCAUCAUCGGUAACCCUAGAAUGAAGAAACCAAACUCAUAAAAAGUUGACUUCAAAAUUAUGAAAACAAGAUCUAGAGACUAAUUAGGAACCAGUCAAAAUGACCCAAUAAAAUUCAUUUAAAAACCCCUCUUCCUUCCAAAUCAACCAUGUGAUAACAAGAAUCAAACGUGUUGAGAUCAAUAUCAUGAUCAUGAAAACAAAUCAUCUCUGAAAAUAAAUCAAAACCCAAGUUCAUAAAGCUUCACAAUUCUGGUGCAAGAAAAGAACAGACCUGCUCCAACCUGGCUUUCUAGCCAAAUAUUUCCUGAUAUCAACCUGCAGUGCAGCAAGCUCUCCGCUCUGGAUAGACCCUAAGUUCCAAGAGCUGGAAAAAUUUGAUGCAGGAAAACAGUCGUCUGCUACUCUCAGCCAACACAUAAGGCUCAUAUCAAAAAGAAAAGCAUGGCGAGUGGCCAAAACAACCAGUGGAGAACCAGAUUUUGACAGCUUGGCAGAUAUAACUUUAAUGGUGCCUGAAAGAGUGAAGGUUCAGCCCUCAAGUCAGAUUGGCAGAUUUCUAUAGGAAACAAUGGAAAACGUGAGAGAAGAAAGGAAAAAAAAAAAAAAGAAUCUUGGGUAUUAACAUCCCACUACAAUAUAAUACUUCAAAUGUUGAUUGAUACCAGAAUCUUUCGUGGAUGAAUUAGGGUUCAAAGGAAUUAGUGAUGCCAGCGAGUCAUGAAGGAGACAACCGCGGUUAAACAGAUCCCAUACGUACAAGGAACCUUUCCUUGUCACCAGCAAUAAUUUCCAACAAUCAUCACAAUCAAUAAACGUGGCAGCAGAUCCCAUCAUCAUAGUUGGCAUAGAACGUCUACCACACUUUGUAUAAACCUACACAUGAAUAAAAAUUUGUAACCAAAUUUGGAGUUCAAAGAAAUGCAUAGUUUUUUAUUAUUAUAUGAAACUAAUUUACUUCUGGCAGCCUGGAGUACUGUGACUAAGAAUGACUUAUAACUGCAUUAAGCUUCUGCUCUAUUGCCAAGAGAGUAAAAAACUUUAGUCUCAGAUAAUAACCAUCAUUCCUUGUAUAGAAACAGUCUAGCCGCCAAUCAUAAAAAAUUGUCUAUAUAUAUUGUCAGAGCAUUCUCCAACUUAAUCUUAAUGCCCCAAAAUAGUUGUAACUAGAUAUUAAAUAGCCAGUAAUUACCUGUAGGCAUCCAUCUUCACACCCUACCGCCCAAAAAUUUGCAUUUCCAGCCAAAACAGUGACUUUCCCAGAGACUCUAUCAGACCACAGAAUUCUAGAUCCCUUAGUACAAGAAAUAACCGUUUCUUUUAACAUCGAUGUGUUUCCAGCCCCAAUAAUAUCAUUAGCAGCAUGCUCUUUUGGUCGAGCUUCCAAGCAUAUUGGUUCAUUAUAUUCCCCUUCUUUCUUAUCGAACACCCUAAUUGACAGUACAGAACUACAAGUAGCCAAUGAACUUGACGUUUUCAAAUUCCCAGGAUGAUCCAUUAUGAUAUUUUCAUCUUUACCUGCAGAGAGUGGAACCUUAUCAAUGACUAAACUAUCAGUGAUUGUUGUUCGAGCUGUGACCCCUAUACGCUCCUUUGAAUCAGUAUGUUUGCUAGGUCUAGGUGCUCCCCUCACAAAACUUUCCCUUACAAAUUCUGGUGCAGACACACCAUUAUUAUCCUUUUUUUGGUCCAAUGACAAAGAAGGGAAAUCAAUUGCAUUGCUACUCUGAAUCCCACCAGACUUAUUUUCCUGCUGAACAGGCACUCCAACGGCUUCUGGAAUAAUUCUUUUUCUUCCAUCAGGUCUUCUAUAUUCUCUUUGCUUCACAGGACUAGAUAUCUUCGGGGGAGCUGACGAAACCUUAUUUAAACUAUCCCCACCAGCUCCACAAGUUUUCUUUGAAUCAUCAACUUGGGGUUCCAAAGUCUUGGCGGCAUCCCUUGCAUCUAUCGAAGGUUUUGCUGGUGUCUGGUUUUGUUGAGUUUCAGAAACCACUUUUUUGCUUGAGACUUGCUUUAACGAAGCUGCUUCAAGCAUCAGUUGAGCAGGAGUUUCAGCUAAAUUCACUUGCCGACCUCUAACAUCACCAUAACGACUUCUCUUGAUCUCAUCAAGUUCUGCAUCAGGUAACCUCUGUCCAAUUUCUUUAACCUCAAAAUGAAAAGUUGCCACCGAUCCAUCCAAGGAACAUGCAAAGAGUGAAUAUCCAUCAGGACUCCUGCUCCAAUAGGAAAAUUUGAAAAUUAGUAGUUACAAAUUAAGUAGUAGAUCCACAUCCAAACAAAAUGAAAGCAACUACAUGGUAUAGGGAUAUGUUCAGACUCAUACCAAGAUAGAUCAACAACACUUUGAGUAAAGAAAUGUUUGGCAACAAAAAGAGGCCGAGGACUUGCUGUCGUCCAAACAGUUAUAGUGCGAUCCUGACUCCCAAUUGCAAUCACAUUAUAAGAUGGAGAUUCUUUGCCUCCAAUUUUCGAGGCUCCAUUUGUCCACCCAACAGGAACAGCCUUCAUCUCAUUAGUGUUAGUCAGAUUCCUCCGAAACAUAGAAUGGUUGAAUUUCACAACAAUAACAGGAGCGUUGUGUCCUAAGAAAUCAAAUGUGGCAGACCAUUCCCCUCUCUCCAAGACCGGUGCAGAAUGUCUGGGCUUCUGAAAACCAUGAGUUGUAGUGAUGAAAUGUCCACAAGGUGACCAGCCUAAACGCCGGAAAAAUGUAGAACCAAGCUGGAAAAAGAAAAACCAAGAGAACAUAAAUAUAGUCUGAAAUUAUGAAAUUAAGACGCAAAAACAAAAAUCCAGACGUAAAAUGAAUAAACAUACAGAUUUUGUCCAGUGGCCAUCAGUUCGGUGAGCAAGGCUCCAGUCACUCGUACGCCAUAUAAUAACUGUCUUGUCAUCCGAUUGACUGGCUAUGAAAGAGCCUAUGGGAUCCCAGGCAACUCCUUUCACAAGGCUAGAGUGGCCCCUUAAAACAGCUGUACAAAUACCAUUGCUCAUAUUCCAUAUGUGAACUGUGUUAUCAAGACUCCCACUUGCUAAUGUUGAAUCAUCUGGAGACCAGUUAAGAUCCACCUACUUCAUGCAUUGAUGCCAUUAUAAAGGCCAUCAGUAAUGCGUACAUAAUGAUUAAACAUAUAAUUUGAGCAAUCUGGAAAAACCAACCAACAACAGGCAGUUCGAUUUUUGGAAAAAGGGGCAUGAGGGUUAUUUCUUAUUUUUCAAAAUUAUUGACCAAUAAAAGUUGAAUUAAAUCCAUGGGAUGCGGAUAAAAAAUUCAGAAGCUAAAUCAUUACCACAUCAGCUGUGUGCCCCCUCAAAGUCAUAGCGACUUUCCAAUUCUCAACAUCUGGGGGCUCCCCACUUCCAAAUUCAGUGGUCCCUGAACCAGGUUUCUUUUCAUGAACAAGAAUGGUUUGAUCAUCAGACCCUGAUGCCACAUAACGACCGUGCUUAGCCCAUCUAACACAAUUAACUGACCCAAAGUGAUCACGAAGAGUUGCAAGAAGCCUCUGAUUUGAAUCAUCGUCUUCUAAGCUCCUACCAACAGAUUUCACAUUCCAUAUCCGAACCUGCAGGAGCAUAGGAAGUAGAAAAUGAUUGUCUACAAAAUUGAAUAUAAUUAGAGCAUUUUAUGAAUAGCAGAAAAACCAGCUUUUACAUUGAUUACAAAACAAUUACAGUAAUCACAUAUGACGAUCACACCACUACAAAAAUGAACAAUCCAUACUUGCUAACCAUGCUUCAAGACGAUUGUACUCUUGUAGAUCAUAAAAUGAGGCACAUACAUGUAUAUGGAAACUCUCGUAAUAACUUACCAGAAGCACUCUGACUAUUCAACUCACUACCUUCUGAAAAUCAAAAUCAGAUUUCAAAUCUAGACUGGAGAAGAGUUUGGUUCCCAAAACCAAAAGGGUAUAAAUAGUUAGCUCAACAGAGGAGGUACCCGAAGUCAACAAGAGGACGUGGGUGUGCCCCUCAUCUGGAACUGAGAUACCUAACGAGAUGCCCAGGGGCUCAGAGCCCCCAUAUGAAGUAAACAAAUUACAAUGUUUAAGAAAAGGGGAAAUUUUUUGUACUAAAACAGCCAUCCUCUUUUUCUAAACGCUAAUGGCAGCUUAAAAAUGUGAUAGUUUCUACAAAAAUUGGCCCAACUAUCCUCAAAAACACGAAACAGGCAAUAUACAGGACCAUUUUGUCAUCUUCAGCAUAUAAAACAGUCUUUUCCAACAUAAGUAAGAUUACAAGAAAAAUGGGAAACAAAAUGCAACAAAUACAUACAAAUUUAUACAACAGACUGUUCUGCUCAACUAUAAAGGAAAAGGAUAGUGAUAUUGCCGCUACUAUUGCGUUCAAUUAGGAAAAAGAUAUACAUUUUCAUCGACACCCAUGAUAAAUAAAAAUAGAAGCCACUUCAUAUCGGCCACCAACUAGAGUAAAUCUAAACAAGUACCUUGUGGUCACCUCCUCCAGUAGCGAAUCUCAGUCCACCAGGUUGGACAUCAAUCGAGAAAAUUUGCAUGCCCUCAUGCCUAACCCAACUGGGUUUCUCUGCAAUCAUCUCUAAGUUCAAACCCAGCAACAAACCCUCCCCCCCUUUAGGCUGUUUCUUGCCAACUCAUCGCUUUCCAACACAAUAAAACAACUCAGUACAAUUGCGUAAAACAGAGCCCUAAGAAAACUCGAAUUCCAAAAACAAAAGGGGUCACAGAAUUCAAGUCCGGUAACGCGAAACUGUUAAGAAAAAACCGAAAUGCCAAACCCCUCCAGUUUUCAGCUUAGCGUAGAACCCUAGAAUGCGGACCAGAAAAGAGCUGGUCCUAAACCCUGAAGUGAAAACCAACAAAAACCCUAGAAGUGGAACAAACCCAGCAAAGAAAUGGAACUAAGAGUAGCAAAAAGGAAGGAAUAAGUAGUUGGUUUGAACAGUGAAAGCUCGUGAGAGAAGUGAGAAACGAAGCUAAGAAGUUGGAAAAGGCGAAAAGGGAGAAUCAGAAAAUGAAAAUGACAGACAGAGGGGGGGCCGCCAAGAGAAGAAGUGAGGUUAGGAAUUGCAAAGACAAAAGGGUAAUGUAAUUUCGAAUCGAAACAUGAAUUUGAAAGAAACGAGAUGAAAAAAUGAAAAUCAAAAGCAAAAUCAAAAGAAGAGAAAGAGAGAAAGAAGGAAUUAGGUGUUUUACGUUAACGAAUCGCCUUCAGUUCUUUACUCUUCUUCUUCUUCUUCUUCUUCUUCUUUUUUGAUCUAUUUCUCUGCAAAUUUUUUGCUUCGCGCUAACAAUAAGAAGAAGAACAACAAAGCAUGGUCCGUGCCGAUAUUUUCCAAUCGUUUUUUCUUUGUUUCCUACUUUUUUACGGAGUAAUGUAUUGUAGGUUUUUCAAUUGUUCCCCUUUUUAUUUUUUUUAUCUUUUCCUUUCUUUACUUUUGCAACUUGCAAAACAAUAUCUCACAUCCAAAUUUGAAUUAAUUACAAAAAUAGGUUAAAAUAUUAAAAUUUGUCCAAAUAUAACAUUUUACAAAAUAUUUAUGCUUCAUUCAACUAUCCAAUAUCCUGUAAUUAAAUGUAAAAUAUUUACCUUUAUAAAAAUAUUGUGUAAUUAAUGUAAAUAAUUUGCCUCUUGAUUCUUAAAUUCAAGGUUUUACAUUUUUGUUUGUUCAUGUAUUUUCAUUUAACUUUUAGAAUUUAGGAUAAAAGUCAAAAGAAUUUUUAAAACAAUGAACUACCAAUUAAUUAGUGUUAAAAACUAAAUUUUAGAUUUAUUAAAAAUAUAGGGAUCUGAAUUAAAAAUGAUGGUAGAUGAUGAAACUCUAAAAAUAAAAUUAAAUCUCUCAUGUGCUUUCAAGAAUUGAAAAAAAAAAAAAAAGAUGUCAAACUAAAAUAAAUUGUUCUUAUAGAUUUUUAAAAAUGGCUUUAUUUUUCAAACUGUGUUUUUUACAACCUUUGAAUACGUUUUUCAGGAGCAAGGUAACUUGAACUAUAGGAAAGGAUUGUCUUAUAAGCUUGAAUUUUAAAAGAGAUGUCAACCAGAGUCUCAUUUGUUAAGAUUGAGCUUAUGUUUUCUUCUAUAAAUUUUUAUAUUUUUUUACAAAAACAAUCCUAAUAAAUACUUUUUCUAACUAGUAGCUUUAUAUAAGCUAAAUAGUUUGUAGAAAGGAUUAAAAAUACACUUUAUUUUCUAGCAUUAAAUUUAUAAAUUAAAAACACGAAAAAGUGUUGGAUGAAUUAAAAAUAAUCAAAUAACUGAAAUAAAAGUCGACAUUCCAAUUUCAUGAUAUUCUUAACAUAAAUUUGCAAUUAUAAUGCAAAUCAAUUAAUAAAAUAAUUGAUCGAAAGUAGCCAUUUAGUUUUUUUAUAAAAAAAAAGUCUACACGGUGUGUUUGAAUUAAAAAGAAAACAUUCAAAGUCCCAAUGACCAAAAAUGAAAAUUAGUAGCAAAAGUGGUUUUUAUGAGGAACGAAAAGGUCAUAUUAUUGAUCCCACUCAUAAACACAAUGGCCAAAAACUGAAAUCCUUGCAAGCAACAAAUGUGCAUGGAAGCACCUGAAACUCCAAUUAAGAGCCAAUUAGGAAAACAUACACAGGCCCAUUCUAAUUAAAGUUGGGAGUUCAUUUCACGAUAACCAUAAAUUCUAAACAAAAUAAGACCCAAAAUUCAUCCCUAAUCCCAAAUUCGAUUUAAAAAUUUGCACAAUAUUAAUUUUGAAUAACUGGAAGCCCCUGCACAAACUGAUUAGAUGUUCUUUAAUUGAAACUAAGCAAUAAUCAAAUAAAUUGAAACAAAAAUCUACAGAACAUAUAGAGUGAAACAAAAAAACACAUUACUCCCAUCACAAGUGUUGACGAUUGUGCAGCUAAUGGUUUACUAAAAGGAAACAAACAGGAAAAUUUUUCAUCAAUCAUAAAUAUAGAAAUCUUAUCUCAACUUCUUCCAUUUAAGACAAACAAACAGAACUAUCUAGGUUAUGAAAAUUCCUCAGAAGACUCGAUAUGCCUUCCCCAUUGUACUCUUCAGGUACAAGCACCUCACCUGAUCAGAACAAUAAAAUCGUAUUAUUAUUAGAUAAAAGAGCAAUGCUUCAUUGAGUAUUGAGAAGCAUUAUAAAUCGUGUUAGUAAAUGAAAAAAGACAAGCCUAGGAGUAUGCUUGUUGCAUAAACAGAAGAUAACAGACUAAAAUAACAUGGAGGGAAAAGUAUGUCCCGUGACUUACAUUUUGCCAAUUCUUUUUCAACAAAGAAACAAGGAAAUUGACACUCAUUUGAACGUUCUGAAAAACUUGCUUCUCUUCCAUGGCAAUAUUGCCAACGGCCACACCCAUACAAAGAACCUUCUUCAAUUGGAACUUAACCAUUGCCUUAGUCUCAUUUACUUUAGAUUCAAGAGAUUCUUGAUGAGUGACCAGGGUAGGGAACUUUCCUGUAAUCAAAAUUUCAAUGCCAAUGUUAGUACAAACUACAAAAUGAAAAUAGAUUAAAAUUCAAAAUUGAAGUGUCAGAAAUGAAGUACAAAGUUAAAACAACUUAAGCUUAAACAGAAAGUAAAUCAUGAAGCAAAAGGUUAAAAAUGCAUUCACUUCAUCACCACUAUAAACAACCAAUAGAGCUGAGAAAACUUUUGUACAAGAAUCAAUAGAGCUAAGAAAAACUUUCUAACUUGAGUCACGAGAUCAAGGAUAAAAUUCCAGGUCUGUUAGUCAUAAGCUCACUUGCCUGCCUUGUUGAGACCAGGGCCCAGAAGACGGGGAAUUUGCUUGAUAAUAGCUUCAGAUGCUAAAAAGGCAUGGUAUUUCUUGGCAAGUUUCUUAACCAACUUCUUGUUUUUGUUUAGCUUCUUCAGACCUUCAACAUCCAUAUAAUCCAAACCAAUCUUCUCUGCCUAUAAUAUGCAUACACAUAUUCAGUAAAAGAACAAAGUUAUAGUGUAUGUGUAAGUCUUUAAUUAGAAUCUACCAUCCCAUGAAAUGCCAAAAAAGUACAUUAUUUUCCAAGAUGAGUAUAAACUCACAAAUACUCUUGAUGAAGAAUUCAACACCAUACCCAUUAAAUUUUAAAGCACAAAUAGAAGACCCUGCAAACUAUAAACUUAAUUCAAAUGUACCAACCACCGAGAUGUUUCAUAAAGUACAUCACACAUUAUCAAGCAAAACUCCAACAAGCAAGAAACAUACAAACUAGUAGUCCUCUACGGGGAAAAAACCAAGGACAAUAGUAACUGGGCAUAACAAGUAUUAAGUGAAUAUGUAAAAGAGGAGAUUAAGUUUACCUCUUCAACGUGUGAAGCAUCUCCAAGCAUGCAGAUCUUCAUCUUAGGGCGAGGGAUAUGGGGCAACUUCACUGAACCACUGAAACGCUUGUCCUUUUGUGGAUCAUAGUUCUUAAGUCCAAUCUGAAGUUCAAUGGUCUCAGUGAAUUUGCGCUUCUUUUCACCGCUAUCAGCGAAGAUAGAUGAAAUGGCUUCUCUCAACGCAUCACUUUGAAGUUUGCUGUACAUACAAACCAACAAACCCAUCAGCAACCAAAGCCUCCAACAAGCAUAAACCCAUUAAACUACAACCCUAAGAAAAUUCCAGUACUACCAUCUACAUACUUCUAAAUCUACCUCAAUCAAAUAUUUAGAUUACUGGCAGAAAUAAAUAACAAGAACAAACUUUAUGAAUUCGCAAAUUAGAUAACAACAACGGAAGCAAUAAUCAAAUUCAUUCUGAAAAACAGCAGAAUCUGAACGGUGAAUAAAAACUACAUACCUCAUUUUCGGAGCUUUGUCUUUCCCAAGAAGUAGCUACAAACUGGUGAGAAGAAAACAAAAAAAACAAUAAACUACAAUUAUAACAAACAGACUAACCAAACCAAAUCGAAUGAAGAAUACGCAAGAACUGAAGAUCAGAUUGAAGGAAGAAGAAAGAAGAGAGUAGAGUAAAAUAGUUGCAAUAAUGGAGAAUCGAGUAGCAGGUUCAACAAAAUAAACAUAGGAUAGAAGAACAAGGAUGGGUGAGUACCUGGUGAGAAGACAGGAAGCUAGGGUUUUUCGACGGCCGAACAGAGAAUAAAUAUAUAAUGGAAGAACGAAGGGAGGCGAUGAAGAAAGAAGGGCCGAUGAUGAUAAACCUAGGUUAUGCAGUUUUGCUACAGUAAUGGUCUUGGGCCUUUGUUUUUUCGAGUUUAGAUUGGGCCGGUUUUGGCCCAAUUUGUAGUCCAGUGGGCCUUAGGCUUGUAGAUGGACGACAAUCGAUGGGGAAAAACGACUUGUUGAUUCGUCUAUGAGAUGGUUUUUAUUAUGCCUCGUGAAAGCUAUUCAUAGAGUACUAACGGUGCAGGGAUAUAUUUGAUAAUAAGAUAGCUAUAAUGAUUAACAAUUUUAUAAAUAAUAAUUAAGUGUAUAGCAACAUUUUAAAUAUUAUAAAUAUAACAAAAUUCAUAAGUGAUAGACUUCUAUUUAUGAUACUGUGUCUCUUCAGCCUCAACUUGUAUUAGAGUGCUAGAUUUCUCCUCAUAUUGUUUAUUGGUAGGACCUUGAGUCUCGUUCUGAUCCCAUUUACGUUGAAUUUUACGUUGCUGAGGCAUGACUCCUAUAACAUAUCAACCAUUAGACAUGUUACAGAGACUACUAACUACUAUAAACUUUUAACUUCUUUUUAAACUUCCCCUAACACAACUUUUACUUCUCCUCUUCUCCUUUACUCUCUAUUUCACAAAGAACUACUGUUCUUACUAACAUGACUUAGUCUUUACUCCCUAAAGACUAACUCUUGCUCUGAUGCCAAAUUUUCACACCCCACCCCGAGCACCUCCUUACGUGACCAGAGACGUGGUAUGAAGUCAAUCGAUAUUGUCCUCUUUAAGAAUGACAUCAAUUGACCCCUUAAACAUGAACCCUUAAAACAAUAAACGAUAGCGGAAGCUAACACAUAAAUUCUAAACACACAAUUGGGUAAAACCCUUUUAUUUAACACAAACUUCAUAUAAGUUUAUACAAACAUGACUUAACCAUAUUCACAUGAAACAAAACUCAACAACUGUCUUCCCAAAAAGCCUAAAUCUCACAAUACAAAAGACUAGCCAACCAAUCACAAUAACAAAAUAACAUAACGCAUACGAUAACAAAAUGAAAUCCUUCAGCAAACAGGUAGCAACGAUUCAGGUUAUGAGGACACGAUCUCUACGUGGAAAGUGAGAAAAUAUUUUGAAGAGUGUGAGCUAAACGAGCCCAGUGAUUGAUAAUUUUCUAAAUAAAUUUUCAUAAACCUAUAGAAACAGUAAUUCAUAAAUCCUUGAAACGGUAAAUGUUAAAUCAUAACAUGAAAGCUUAAACCUUAAAGCAUUUUGGAAAUAGUAACAUAAAGCCUUGUUUUUCUUGUUCGAAACCUCAAAGUAUCUACUCUUGGGAGGUGGUAGAGAUUACUCGGUACCAACUCCAAACCUCAGAGAUGGACAUCUCAAUUCCUGUUCGUGGGAGAUAAACGUGCCUAACUCCAAUCCCAGAAAUAAGUGUCCUUACCUCAAAUUUAUCAAUGCCUAUAAUCCUGCCUUGUUACGACUAAAUUUAAUCAUGUCUCAUUCUGGGUAAUUUUAAUCAUGUCCCGUUACGAGUAAUUUUUUUAGACAUAUUGGUUUCGAGAAAACAUUUUUAAAACCACAAACCUUAAAUCCUUUUGCAAUAAGCAACUUUUAACUUUAUUUUCAAUAAUCCUUAAACAUUCCUCAAUAAAUAGUAAUCUUGAAUCAAAUACUUUUAAAUAACAACAUGCUUGAAAUCACUUCAAAUAAAUCAUUUUUCACUCACACAUACAAGCUCAAAUCAUUGGUUUAUAAGUUUGUUUGAUCUCUUCUCGACCUGAAAAAUAUGGUAAAAUAAUCGCUUUAACUUCCCUUGAACAUGAAAAUAUCAAAGGUGCACUUAAAAUUUCCAAAAUUAACAAAAAAAAAAAAAGUCUAAAAUCAUGUCAUGAAACAUGUUGGCAUGCAAAUGAUGGGCAAUAGGCCUUGGUCGCAUGCGUUGGGCUUCUGCGUGCUAACCUCACAAAAGGUUUGCCGCACACCUCACCCUCUCCCCGUGUAUAUUAUCCCGUGCAGGGUUUGUUGCAUACAGAUCGUGCUUCUAACGCCAACCUCAACGUACACUAACCUCCAUGAUCACCAAAAUGGUUGCCCAUCUCACGUAGCUUACCUUGCCACUCGGCCAACCACCAACUUACCCAAAAACUCAAUUUUCAUCUAAAGAUAUAACUCGAUUUUGAAAAAUUAUAACUAAAAAUCCUUAACUCAUUUGAAGAAACUUCCUUCUACAAGAAUGCUUUUAAAGUCUUAAAUUGUUUACCUUAAAAUUUAAGCUUCAAAUUCCAAAGAAUGAACUAUGCAACCCUCUAGAAAUCAACCUUGCUCAAAUUCACCCGAAAUCUUACCUUUCUCACGUUCUUUAACUCAAACUUAACUCUCCCUUGCACAAAAACGUCUGGCAGCCCCAAUUUAAAAAUUAGACUCAAUUUAUGAUCUUAAGAGUAAUUUCAACAAAACCACACGAGUGAUUUGAGAGAAAUGUUCAUAUGAAGUGGCCUAUUUAUACUGAACCCUACAUUAAGCUUUAUUGACACCUCCUACUAGUUGAAGUCUAAUUUAAGCAUACAAGGACACCUAUAAAGCACUUCAUCGACCCCAUCUUUUCAUCAUCUCGCCUAACCAAAAUACUCAAUGUUCUUUGACAAGUCCAAAACGUCUUGUGUCAAGCCCUUGCUAACUUUCAAACCCUUCUCGUGUGGCAUGCUUCUCGCCUAACACCAAACCACCAAGCCUUCUUGCCUAACCUCUCAAGACUCAAAAUAACCUCUAUGUGACAGUCUUACACAUCAAAUGACACUCCUUUAGAUGUUCUCUUCUCACCUAAAUUACUUUCCUUCAUGUUUUAGUCACUUUGUCAAGCCUAAACGCCUACUAAUUAACCUAUUUAGAGGUUAUUUCUUUCUUCUAAUUGGACGCCCAAUGCAUAAGCAACUAAUCUCUAAUAGCCUUGACAUGCUCUAAACACCUAAUGAUGCUAAGUUAGAUGUUGUUUCCAUCCUUUUGGCCACCAACACACCGCCAAAAUAACUUUCAGAAUGCCUAACCCUUAAGCCUUAAUACUUGGCCAAUUUUUUUUAUUCUUUUCCAAUAUUCAUGACACAUACUUUUUAUCCUUAACUCCCUUCAAUACUUAAAACUUCUCAAUACUUGAAAGGCCUUAAGUUUUCUUCCUUACAACAAAGUUAUCUAAUAAACUAACUAACAACCCAUCUCUAUUUCAAACUUUUGUUGUUAUUACUAUUUUAUAUAAAUAGCAAAUCAAACCAACAAGACCAAAAAAAAAUGAGUAUCUAUGUUUGAAAAGACUUUAAAGUGGUAAGAAAUACAAGUUAUCUAUCUCAUUAUCAAUUGAUUUCGAGAAGAAAUUUCGUGAUUACACAAUAGAGUAUCAAAUAUCAUAACGUUUAUGAGAAAAAUUAGAGUAUGAUCACAACGUCGCAUUAAAUCUAAAGAUGUGUCAUCUUCAAAGGUAUAUAUCAAAUAUAAGUAGCAUAAAUAAUAUAUGAUAGCCAAUUUAUAGAACAAGACAUUAGAAACUCAAAUAAUUCAAACGUUUUAUUACAAAUAUUAAACUAAAUAAAAUAUUUAAAAAAGAAGAAAAAAAGAAAGCAAAUAAGAAGUGUGUUUAUGUUUUAAUCUCUCUAUAAAUAACAUUAAAAUAUCAAUUCAAAGUUGUUAAUUAAAAACAGAUUUUCCCCAAUCUCAACACCUGCUUUCCACCCUACGCCAUGAACGGCGACUGUUCCGCUGUCCCUCCGCCGCUAGCGACGCCCUCGCCGACGCUAUUCUGCCGGCGGCCAAGAUUCUGUCGAACGCCGAAUAGUCGAUCCAAUCCUUAAGCAGUUCCUCUUUGCCCCAUUUCUCCGGCACCAUGACUUUCCCGGCCACCUCUUCACGGUGCCUCUUCAGCCGCUCCCGAACACCAAAACAGCCCUUCAAUUUCUCAGCCCCAACACCGCCGCUAGAAUCUCCGGUCGACCCACCAGCGGGGGAUGGAGCAGGAGCCGUAGCGCUUGCUCCGACGGAAGGAGAGUCAUCGGCAUCAGAGGAAUUUGGGGGAACCAUAGCGAUCAUGGCGAUUUGUAGAUUUGAUGUUUGGGAGUGAGAGAUAAUAGUUAAAUAGAAGGGUUGUGUGGGGGUUUAUUGUACACGUCAACCAAGGGUGUUUUAUAUCUUACUUUUAUUUUUAAAUUUUUUUUAUAGAUAUUUGAGUGGCAAAGGGAUUUACUAAUUUCUAUUGCAUCUUCUUUCAAUUUCAAUUUACUAUUUAUGUUUUUGUUUUGUUUUUUUGAUGUAUGAAAUUGGAGGGGGAAAAGAAGAGAGUGUGAUUUAAUUGAUUGGGGGAAUUUAGGCCAAUGGAAUUGAUGCUAUUGAUUUGGGUGGCGGUGGGUUGUUGUUUUAGAGGUUGUGAUGUGGAGCCUUUAAGGGCAUAGGAAUUGAUUUGAGGUGGGACUUUAGAGAUGUGGCACCAACCAAUUGUCUUAGAUAUGCAUGUAUAUGUUUAUGUUUAUGCUUUGUCACCACAUAAAUUUAUAUCUCUUCUAUGGUCCACGUUUCAUUCAAACAUGGCUGCUUUUUGCUAAUUUUUACUUUUCAAGGUUACGUGGGUUAUAGUUGUUUUUGUUAGAUUUGUUAGAUGUGUUGUGUAUGUAAGCUAGUCGAGAUUGUAAAAUGUUCAUACUCGAUUCAAAUGUAGAAUUUAAGUUAGAAGAAAGUUA